GCACCGCGGACUCCUUGGUGAGGACGCAAACCCCAAGCCCACUGCUACUUCAGGGGUCUUUUGCGUUUCCCGAGGCAGAACCUUGGUGAGGCUUUGUCUAAUGCAGUCAAGGUUAGGAGACUCUGCGGCCAUUCCUUCCAUUUCGCUCAGUCCUUCCGGGAGAAGCACCUGCUCCUUUCGGCGGGGGUGGGGGACAGGGGGAACUGCUCCUCUCGCCCUCCUUGGUGGGGGUGGGGCGACAGGGUUACCAGCUCAUUGCUUCCUCCCGUGGUGGGGAGACGGGGCUACUGGCUCAUCUCUUCCUCCUGUGGCAUCUGGCUCUGAUACUCAUGCCAACCCCGCCCCCUCCCCGGUGUGGAUGCUGGAUGCCUGCCUUGCUCUGUUAGGAUAAUGGCUCAGAGACUAAAGUGUUCCGGAGAGAUGGGAAAGAGAUCAGCUUUAUUUUUGAAGCAUGAAACCUCUGAGAAAGUCCUAAUGUAAGGAAUUGACCCCAGAAUCACUUGCAAUAAGAAGCAAGUCCACUUGGUGAGAUAUGGGGGGAGCAGGGGUCCCAGGGAGCAAGGUGGUGCUGUUGCAUUUCUGUUUGCGGUGUGACUCGAAGGCCUGUCAGAGCCAACGAGGGAAACAGACUCUGCUGCUCUAAUGUCCUUUGCUGGAAGUGCAGCCGAGGGUCAUUAGGACACACUGUGCGAGGGGCAGUGCUACCUGUGGUCCCUCACAGGCAGGCCCUUAGGGGCCCAGGAUCGUUGUGCUCUGGGCACUUACGCCCCCCCCCCGACAUGCCCGAGCCGUUACAGUCCAGGCAGGCUCUGCAAGUCCACGGCAUCCCUGGGCAUCAUCAUGCUCCACCAUGCCCCCUUACUCCCCACCGUGCUCCACCAUGCUCCAUUGUCCUCCGUCAUGCUCCACCAUGCUCUCCUGUGCCUAACCAUCCUCCACCAUCUUCCACGGUGCUCCAUCAUGCUUUAUCAUCCUCUACCGUGCUUCCUUAUGCUUCACCAUACUCCACCAUGCUCCACUAUACUCCACCAUCCUCCAUUGGCCUCCAUCAUGCUCUGCCAUGCUCUACUGUGCCUAACCAUCCUCCACCAUCUUUCACUGUGCUUCCCCAUCCUCUACCGUCUUCCACUGUGCUUCACCAUCCUCCACUGUGCUCCAUCAUCCUCUACCAUGCUUCCUUAUGCUUCACCAUACUCCACCAUGCUCCACGGGCCUCCAUCAUGCUCCGCCAUGCUCUACUGUGCCUAACCAUCCUCCACCAUCUUUCACUGUGCUUCACCAUCCUCUACCGUCUUCCACUGUGCUUCACCAUCCUCCACUGUGCUCCAUCAUGCUCCAUCAUCCUCUACCAUGCUUCCUUAUGCUCCACUAUACUCCACCAUGCUCCACUGGCCUCCAUCAUGCUCCGCCAUGCUCUACUGUGCCUAACCAUCCCCCACCAUCUUUCACUGUGCUUCACCAUCCUCUACUGUGCUUCAUCAUCCUCUACCAUGCUUCCUUAUGCUUCACCAUACUCCCCCAUGCUCCACCAUACUCCACCAUGCUCCACUAUACUCCACCAUGCUCCACUGGCCUCCAUCAUGCUCCGCCAUGCUCUACUGUGCCUAACCAUCCUCCACCAUCUUUCACUGUGCUUCACCAUCCUCUACCGUCUUCCACUGUGCUUCACCAUCCUCCACUGUGCUCCAUCAUCCUCUACCAUGCUUCCUUAUGCUUCACCAUACUCCACCAUGCUCCACGGGCCUCCAUCAUGCUCCGCCAUGCUCUACUGUGCUUCACCAUCCUCUGCCAUGCCCCACCAUGCUUCACUCUGCUUCCCCAUGCUCCGUUAUCCUCCAUCAUACUUCACCAUCCUUCACCGUGCCCUAUAA
rnacentral:lncRNA from 1 species